UAUAAAUAGUGCAACAGGAGUUAAAAGCCAGGUUAAGCCUCACAUAUGAAAAGGCAUUGUUAAGAAAACGGGCUGUAGUUUAUUGGCUUAUCCUCUGAAAUUUCACAGAUUGCAAACAGAAGUUACUUUUGAAUGGUGCUAAGGAAACAAUGCUGCCUCCCCCUCUACAAGAAGAAAGCUCCAGCUGACUAAGGCUGGGCUCCUAUUCAUAAAAAUGGGGAGAGGGAAUGUUUUGCCCUCCCAUAUUCCCCCAAUUUGCAUGGCCAUGUGCUACCUGGAGAUUGAGAGAAUUGUCAUACAAAAAUUAAACUGUGAUAAUCCAAAAAAUGUCCUGUUUUUUCCUACCUGGCACUGAGCCCGACUGGGUUCAUGGGCCUUAGUCACAUAUGACUUUGAAGGAGGAAGUAUCUAUAAAAAGAGGAGAAUAAUUGGGGGAGAAUGAAAUGGAAAAUCAUGAAAGCUGGUUAUUUAGAGAGAGAAAAAAGAAGGAACAAAUUGCUAAAAAUGGAAACCUGGGACUUUUUAAAACCAACUGAGAAACUAAAGAUGGCAUGAAAGCCCGAAGCGCUCCAUGAAUGGAUAUAUAACUGGGCACCAGGAGAGAAUUGAAACUCAGGCUACAGCCCCAUUAAGAUCAGUUGAGCAAUAGUUCAAAGUGAAAAAUGUGACAAAGUCAGGGAAUGUAUCUUCAGCUGCUGCCUGGCCAGAUGUGGCAGUCCCAGCUGUCUUAUUGCUAUCAGACUUUUGAGAAAACAAGUAUAUGCAGGGGAAGGCAUCUAAACUGUCAGUGCCAGACCAGAAGAGCGGUCUUGGUUUGUUUGUUUUUUAAUGACCCAUUGUACAGUAGGUUACAUUAUUUGGAAAUUUUAGCAUAGAAAAAAGGUACAGAAGCAAAGCAGAACUUGUAUGUAUUUUAAAAAAGCCAAGUUCCUUUCCUAACAUAUUACCUCCAGACGCUGAUCCUGGAAAUCAGUGAAGUGGUAAUGAGCAUGAAAACACGUCAUUAGACAUUUUUCAAGUCCUGGCAGAAAUCCCAUUGUCCUCCCAACCCUGCUCUACACCUGCAAGAUGUGGAUGGUCUACAGACAUCACACUCAACUCCUGGAGCGUUUCUAUCAGCGUUGCCUCAGAAAAAUCCUGCAAAUCUCUUGGGAAGACAGGCGGACAAAUGUCAGCGUGCUGGAAGAAGCAAAGACCACCAGCAUUGAAGUGAUGCUCCUAUGCCAUCAACUCCGCUGGACUGACCAUGUUGUCCGAAUGCCCGAUCACCAUCUCCCAAAGCAGUUACUCUACUCUGAACUCAAGAAUGGGAAACGUAAUGUUGGUGGGCAGGAAAAGAGAUUUAAAAAUGGGCUCAAAGCCGACCUUAAAAAAUGUGGCAUGGACACUGACAAUUGAGAAGCCCUGGCCCUUGAGCGCUCUAAUUGGAGGUCAGCUGCAACCAGCAGUGCUUGAAGAUGCAAGAAGGGAGGGCUUAAGGGAGAAACGUGCCAAGAGGAAGGCCCGUCAAGCCAACCCCGACCGAGACCGCCUUCCACCUGGAAACCGAAGUCCUCACUGCGGGAAAACAUGCAGAUCAAGAAUAGGUCUCUUCAGCCACCAAAGAACCCACCCCCAAGACACCAGAGAUGGAAGACAAUCCUCCUCGAACUACGAGGGAUCGCCUAAGUAAGUAAGUACCCUGUAACUGACCAGGACUGAAUUAAAUACUUGACCCCUCUUACACUUUAGCCACCUGGCUCCUGGGCCAUUUGCUGACUGAAGCACAGGAGAGAUGUGUCCCAGUGAAUUCAAUUGGUAUUUGACUUCUCCUCAAGUAUGUGUUCAAGUAUGGGUUGCCACCUAAAUUUAAAACUUUCAUAACACCAUUUUAGAUUAUAAUUGCCUGUUGUUUCUGUGUUAUCAUUAAGUUUUGGCUAAUUUCAUAUGCCAUUUCAUAUCUCCUUAGAGAGAAAAUCAGAGUAAAAAUAAUGAAUCGACUACGUAUACAGUACAGGUUCCACUGAAGUCAACCACAAAAUUCUGUUUAUUUUAAUGAACCUGCAUUUCCUUUUUAGUUUGUUAAUAAUUAGAUGAUGAUGAUGAAGAAAACGAAGUACGUUCUUCUGUUAAUCCGUCUGUAUUGUAAACUUUUAUUAAGCUGUUAUUGAAUUAAAUUCAUUAUGGUAUCUGCCUUUCUUAUAAGCUCUGCUGUACUGUUAAAAUGUAAGAUAAGUGCUUGGCUGGAAGCUUAAUAGAGCUAAAGGAAAUAGUCGAUAAUAAGCAUGAAGUGUGAAAUUAUUAGAUAGGCUGUCACUGGCGUAAGUCUUCCUUCCAAAUGUAUUUGGCGUCUCAAAGUACUGUGUAGUUUAAGAUUAAGAAUCCCAUUUACUUCCAUCAAGCCAUGUACAAUUAAAACAUAAUUGGGCCAGGUGUGGCGGACGCUUCACUUUCUAUCUGUCUAAAUACUAAUGAAAUCUCAGGGGUGGGGUGUGGAUGUGGAGCGUUAGCCUGUCACAACAGGCACCGACCACACUGCAUUCCAUGAAGGGACUAUGGAUUAAAAAAAUGUGUUGUCGAAGGCUUUCAUGGCUGGAAUCACAGAGUUGUUGUGUGUUUUCCGGGCUGUACGGCCAUGUUCCAGAAGCAUUCCCUCCUGACGUUUCGCCCACAUCUAUGGCAGGCAUCCUCAGAGGUUAUGAGGUUGGAAAAAAACUAAGCAAGGAAGGCUUAUAUAUCUCAGGUAUAUUUAUCUCCCAUUCCACUGGUUUAUAUAAACUUUCCUUGCUUAGUUUUUCCCAAUAUACCUCACAACCUCUGAGGAUGCCUGCCACAGAUGUGGGCGAAACGUCAGGAGAGAAUGCUUCUGGAACAUGGCCGUACAACCCGGAAAACAGACAACAACAUCAGCUUCACAAACAGACAGUUUAUGCAUAUGAUUUAAUGUGCAUACGGUUUAAUCAGACCUAUUCCUGGAACUAGUUAUCAUGCUAUAUCUUGCUGACACUGUUGUAUCUGAACCUGUGGCAUCAAAAAAACUCCAGUUCUUCAAUUUUAUCUUACUGUUAAGAUAACUUAAACCAUUUUCAAGCCCUUUCACUUUUUCACUGUCUCACCUUUGCCAACCAUGACAUUUUUUGAAGAAUGAGCAGAAGUAGGACUGUCACAUCAAAGUGAUGUGUGCUGAUACUUCCAAAAGGCCCCUGUGAGCCCUCUUCCGAGAGUGACUGAAGGAUCUGAAGUGUGGAUUAUGAAAUCCAAUUCAAUAAAAGACCUUUUACUUUUUACUGCAUUUGGAAGGAUUUGUACAUUUGUCUUGGAAAAUUAUAUGUAUAUAAACCAUAACGGUCUCUCUCCCCCCACUCUGCCUUUAUCUCUUUCAUAUGCAUAAGCCCCCAGUGGCGCAAUGGGUUAAACCCUUGUGUCGGCAGGACUGCUGACUUGAAGGUUGGGUUGUUGUUUUUUUCGUGUCAGGAGCAACUGGAGUUGCUUCUGGAGUGAGAGAAUUAGCUGUCUGCAAGGACAUUGCCCAGGGGAUGCCCGGAUCUUUUGAUGUUUUUACCAUCCUUGUGGGAGGCUUCUCUCAGGUCCCCGCAUGGAGCUGGAGCUAAUAGAAGGAGCUCAUCCACGCUCUCCCCGGGUGGGAUUCGAACCUGGCAGCCUUCAGGUCAGCAACCCAACCUUCAAGUCACAAGGCUUUUAUCCCCUAGGCCACCAG